CCCUUCCCGCACGCGGUCCCGCCACCGCGCAUCUCCGCGGCCUGCGCCCCCCGCCCUUCCUCCCAACCUCCCUCCCCGCAUCCAUCCAUCCAUUCCUCCGUCCCUCUCUCGCGCUCCCGCCGACCCCGCCACGUCAAUCUCCUGUUGGGAUCAGGUUCUGAAUUCAAGGUGCUAAGUUGAUGGGCGGUCUUAGCUCUCACCCCUCGAUAGAAAUCCCAAGACUGGCGGAGAGAAAGGAGCAACCAGCCGCAGGGGGCGAAGCCAGGGAGAAAGGCGCCCGCCCGCUCGCCCUGUGGACCUCGGACCGAAGCCCUCAGAUACUGGUGCGCGGACUCGCGAGCUUCUCCUGGACUCAGGGCACCGCUACAGGGUGAGGGAGAGGGAUCCCGCCAAGGCACGAUGGACUCCCAAGGUGGCGCUGGGCCGAGAGGAGAGGCGGAGAUCCGAGGAGAGAGAUCCAGGGAAGCCCUGACAGCCUGACUGGAGAGGUUCCCUGCCCCCGGCGGGGCGCUGGAGAGCCUUCCUGGCCCCCAGAACUUAUCCAGAAGCUGCUGGACAGCUCCAGGACCUCUUGCGCCCCCUGCCAAACCCAAGGUCCGGGACAGCAGCAGAAGGCAAAGGGCAGAUCACCCCCGAUCCCACCCACACAGAAAGACAUGGAUAGAUGAUUAAUUAAAAAUGAUACCGAUGACACAUGCGCAUGCAUGGAAGGGAGGAAAGAUAAGCGGAUGGAGGGAGUAAUAUAUUGAAGUAAGCAGAAGAUUGAGCCCAGUACCAGAAUGCAGCUGCUACUCACAGAGAGUCCUAUGAGGUCCCCAACACAAGACAUGCUUCUGUCAAAGCACUUCAUUACCCACCUGAGGCAACAGAAGGUAGUGAGACCCAAGGAGAUAAACUAUCCCUUGCACUUCAACCAAUCCCCAGCUGAAACCACAGAGGAACUGGGGUGAUGAACAAGAAGGCACUUUCCAUGGAAAGCCUGACAAUCAGUGCCAGGGUGAAGGAGAUAGAUGCAGAGGAUACUCAACACCUACCAAAGCAGAGAUCCAGAGGAUCCUAAGAGCUCAUCACUGAAAACAAACCCAACAAAGUUCAGGGAAUUUUGCAGAAGACGGGUGAGAAAGAUUGUAGGAGCCACAGUUUGGGUCAUCAGGCCAAGAGGCAUUGCCUCUCCCCUGUAACGGGCUUCUGCCCCCACAACAUAUAAGCCACAACCCUAUGGGGAUUACCUGCAACACCACUGAGGAGAGCCCCCAGCAGAAUAAGGGCAGAGACGAGUGAAAGGAUGGUACCAACAUAUGAUGUAUCCUUACUAAGUAUGUCCAUAAUAAAAAUUUCAAGAAAAAGAAAGGAAGGAAAAAAAGGAAGGAAGGACAAGGAAAGAAUAUUGUGGGCUGGAAG